rnacentral:rRNA from 1 species
GUGCCAGCCGCCGCGGUAAUACGAACUGUGCAAACGUUAUUCGGAAUCACUGGGCUUAAAGGGUGCGUAGGCGGCUUGUUAAGUAGGGUGUGAAAUCCCCCGGCUCAACCGGGGAAUUGCGCCCUAAACUGGCGAGCUGGAGUGAGAUAGGGGUGUGUGGAACUUCCAGUGGAGCGGUGAAAUGUGUUGAUAUUGGAAGGAACGCCAGUGGCGAAAGCGACACACUGGGUCUCAACUGACGCUGAGGCACGAAAGCCAGGGGAGCAAACGGGAUUAGAUACCCCUGUAGUCC